AGGAGGAAAAUUUAUUCGUGACAACCACGCGAAUCCGCAGAUAAUUCCAGCAGAUUGAAAACGACGUGAUCGCGGAAUAAGUUACGGAGAGGCGAGAUCUCGUCGGGCUUUGCAGUCGUUGAUUGCACGCUGUAUUCUACACAAGCAAACUAUGAGGCUUUUAUUGGCUGUAACGUUCGCGAUAGCGUUAUUUUUCAUCCUGUCGACGCCGGGCACGCGCGCAACUAUCACAAAUAACUCGCAGGAGGACAAGCGAUUUUUGCGCUUUGACGCUUACAAAAUCGAAGCGGGAUCGAUCAUUAAUGUCCCUAUACAAUGUCCACCGGAAAAGGUCAAAGUUGGAAAUCGCUGUCGGAGCGUCUUUUAGAAUCUUCAUAGAAUAAUUGAACCAUUAUAACGAAAAAGAAGAAAAUUGUCGAAGAAGGAAACAUUGUCGAAAAUUAAUGAGAAUCAUGGAAAAUGUACCUAAUGAAUUACCUAAAUGAAUUACCUAAAUGAAUUACCUAAUGAAAUGUACUAAUGAAUUAAUUGUAUAUGUAAGAUCUAUAAUCGCAAAAUCCUUCCUCAAUUACGGUUUUUCUUCGAAACGCAAUCAAGAUGAGAAGAUACUAAAUUAUUUUGCUAUGUUUAUCCUCACAAGCACCAAAAAUAGAUCUUAUAUCAGGCAUGCAGCAAUUAAAACCAAAGUGAAAAAAU